rnacentral:rRNA from 1 species
AUUGAACGCUGGCGGCAGGCCUAACACCUGCAAGUCGAGCGAGCGGCGGACGGGUGAGUAAUGCCUAGGAAUCUGCCUGGUAGUGGGGGAUAACGUCCGGAAACGGUAGCUAAUACCGCAUACAAUCAGAUGUGCCCAGAUGGGAUUAGCUAGUAGGUGGGGUAACGGCUCACCUAGGCGACGAUCCCUAGCUGGUCUGAGAGUAUGACCAGCCACACUGGAACUGAGACACGGUCCAGACCCCUACGGGAGGCAGCAGUUGGGAAUAGUGCACAAUGGGCGCAAGCCUGAUGCAGCCAUGCCGCGUGUAUGAAGAAGGCCUUCGGGUUGUAAAGUACUUUCAGCGGGGAGGCGUUACCCGCAGAAUAAGCACCGGCUAACUCCGUGCCAGCAGCCGCGGUAAUAC